rnacentral:rRNA from 1 species
AACGAACGCUGGCGGCAUGCCUAACACAUGCAAGUCGAACGAGACCUUCGGGUCUAGUGGCGCACGGGUGCGUAACGCGGGGGAACCUGCCCUUAGGUUCGGAAUAACUCCCCGAAAGGGGUGCUAAUACCGGAGAAUGUCUUCGGACCAAAGAUUUAUCGCCUGUGGAUGGGCCCGCGUUGGCUUAGCUAGUUGGUAGGGUAAAAGCCUACUAAGGCGACGAUCCAUAGCUGGUCUGAGAGGAUGAUCAGCCACACUGGGACUGAGACACGGCCCAGACUCAUACGGGAGGCAGCAGUGGGGAAUAUUGGACAAUGGGCGAAAGCCUGAUCCAGCAAUGCCGCGUGAGUGAUGAAGGCCUUAGGGUUGUAAAGCUCUUUUACCCGGGAUGAUAAUGACAGUACCGGGAGAAUAAGCUCCGGCUAACUCCGUG